rnacentral:rRNA from 1 species
UACGUAGGGUGCGAGCGUUAAUCGGAAUUACUGGGCGUAAAGCGUGCGCAGGCGGUUUUGUAAGCCAGAUGUGAAAGCCCCGGGCUUAACCUGGGAAUGGCAUUUGGGACUGCAAGGCUUGAGUGCGGCAGAGGAGACUGGAAUUCCUGGUGUAGCAGUGAAAUGCGUAGAUAUCUGGAGGAACACCAGUGGCGAAAGCGCGAGACUGGGCCAUAACUGACGCUGAGGAACGAAAGCCAGGGUAGCAAAAGGG